rnacentral:rRNA from 1 species
CUGGAGAUGGCGACCGGCGCACGGGUGAGUAACACGUAUCCAACCUGCCGAUAACUCGGGGAUAGCCUUUCGAAAGAAAGAUUAAUACCCGAUGGCAUAAUAGAACCGCAUGGUUUGAUUAUUAAAGAAUUUCGGUUAUCGAUGGGGAUGCGUUCCAUUAGGCAGUUGGUGGGGUAACGGCCCACCAAACCUUCGAUGGAUAGGGGUUCUGAGAGGAAGGUCCCCCCACAUUGGAACUGAGACACGGUCCAAACUCCUACGGGAGGCAGCAUG